GACGAACGCUGGCGGCGUGCCUAACACAUGCAAGUCGAGGGUUUUAGUAGUAAUACGAAGAACACUGGCGCACGGGUGAGUAACACGUAGAUCAUCUGCCCCUAACACUGACAUAACAGUUCUAACGGACUGCUAAUAUCAGAUGUGAUAAGCAAUUAUUAAAGGGUAACCGGUUAGGGAUGAGUCUGCGUCUGAUUAGGUAGUUGGUGAGGUAACGGCUCACCAAGCCUACGAUCAGUAACUGGUCUGAGAGGACGAACAGUCACACUGGAACUGAGACACGGUCCAGACUCCUACGGGAGGCAGCAGUGAGGAAUAUUGCACAAGUGGGAAG
rnacentral:rRNA from 1 species